rnacentral:lncRNA from 1 species
GUAAUGCUUCAUGUUAUCGGAGUAGGAUGAAUAAUGAAAAUAGUGGUCCUCAGAAAUAACAGGCAUUUCUUGAAUACCCAGACCUUUGAUUGAACCUGACAGAAUUGACCUCAAAAUAUGCAGAAUGCUCUCAAAAAUGCUUUGAUCAGCUGAUCUGAAUGACUCAGAGAAGUGUUCCAGGAACUGCACGGGCCAAAAUACCCUUUAAGAAUUCCGAAUCUACCUUAUGAAGCCACCGUCUUAAGAAAAGACAGCAAUUGGAAGGAAUAUUUACAAAAUGAACAGAUUCCUUUUAUUUGUGUGAUAAUCUCCCGGAGAAGCCAAUAG